CCCUUAGAUGUUCUGGGCCGCACGCGCGCUACACUGAUGCAUUCAACGAGUCCAACCUUGACCGAGAGGUCCGGGUAAUCUUUGAAACUGCAUCGUGAUGGGGCUAGAUUAUUGCAAUUAUUAAUCUUCAACGAGGAAUGCCUAGUAAGCGUGAUUCAUCAAAUCGCGUUGAUUACGUCCCUGCCCUUUGUACACACCGCCCGUCGCUCCUACCGAUUGAGUGUGUUGGUGAGGAGUUUGGAUUGGCCUCGGAAGGUGGUUCGCCACCGUCCGUAGCUGAGGAGUUCUCCAAACCGCCCCACUUAGAGGAAGGAGAAGUCGUAACA
rnacentral:rRNA from 1 species